rnacentral:rRNA from 1 species
AUAGACAUCUGGGGGCACGCCAAACGCAAGGAAGUCGAGCGAGCGGCGGACGGGUGAGUAAUGUAGGGGGAAUGCACGAUAGAGGGGGAUAACUACUGGAAACGGUAGCUAAUAACGCAUACUAUCGGAUAAACCAUAUGGGAUUCGCGAGUAGGGGGGGUAAUGGCUCAACUAGGCGACGAUCCCUAGCUGGUCUGAGCGGAUGAUCAGCAACACUGGGAUUGUGACACGGCCCAUACUCCUACGGAGGCAGCAGUGUGGAAUAUUGCACAAUUGGCUCAAGCCUGAUGCAGCCAUGCCGCUUGUAUGAAGAAGGCCCUAGGGUUGUAAAGUACUUUCAGUCGGGAGGCUUUACCGACAGAAGAAGCACCGGCUAACUCCGUGCCAGCAGCCGCGGUAAUUC